rnacentral:lncRNA from 1 species
UACAAAAUUCUUGACAAGUUCGGUGGAGUGAAUAGUCCCCCUAUCAAAGUAGUCAAACAAAAACUUCCUAUACAACCAAACAGGUUAGUAUUGAAAUGAAAACUUUUGUUAUUUUUAUGCAUAUUCAUAUGUAAAUAUUUUUAUGUGCUUUCCUGUAUGUAGUUAUGAUUGUGGAGUAUUGGUUUUGAAAUAUAUUGAGCUAUUGAAUGGUAUGGUUGACUAUGACGGGAAGACGAUGCCUGAAUACAACAGCGUACGUAUUUGUUCCCUUCACUAGUAGAGUACAAGUUAUAAGUUUUAUUCUGCACUGAAAAUUGAUUUUCAAAAUUAAUUUCAGGACGAGCUUCAAGCAUUCCGUCAGGAAAUGGUUUGUAAUUGGGUCCUUGAUGCACGUAAUGCAGAACGAGAAAAUUUGUUGAGGGAGUUCAACUUUAGUGGAACUUCAAAAUGAUGGUGGUUGAGAGUGCGUUGCAUGUUCUGCAAUUGUGUAGUUAUUCAUUACAUGUUUUAGUGUAUCUUAGGAGCAUUCAUAACUAUAGAAAUAUAAUGGAUUACAUACACUUCCAUUGAGUUGAACAAUGUGCGAACUUUUUAAUGCUAAGAAUUGAAGACGAAUAUUGUUGUACCAUAUGAUGCAACAAACCUUCUAAUUACACUUAAAAUUAGUUUCCAU